rnacentral:tRNA from 1 species
AAGUCCAGUAGUGCGAGGCACGUCGGUCUGCAAACCCGAAUACGCCACUUUAUUGUGGCCCGGACU